AUCAAAUUUAAGUCACGUCUGAGAACAUCAUGAUUUCCUGGUACAACAUGUUCUAGGUAGCAACCUGCGGCACUUUCGAAAAAAAGCCAAAAGCCAACGUCUUGUGUCUUGACGUUUGUCGAGCGGAGCCAAUAACGCGCUGUUCUUGGAUAAAAUAUACAUACAUAGCGGACAGUAAGAAACCGAGUGAAAGGCAACAAUGUGAAGCAGCAUGGCGAAAAGGUCAACAUAGGCGCAUCGAUCUUUGGGGAUCUUCCAGAGUGGAAGCCAGUCAAAGGUCAGGAUAAAGCAACCAGAGUAAAUGCGGCUAAACAGAAUCAGUUAUGUGAAUGAAGCCUUAAUAAAACAAGGCUACGGAUGCUUUUAUUUCUGCAUCCAUUAUAAAGAGAAAACGGUAUUCUUUUCAAUCCUCGCAACAGGGUACAUAAAAGAUGAAAUGGAAAGAAAGAAAGAACUUUGUAUGCAUGAUGCUG